GUAACACGUAGUCAACCUGCCCUGGAGACAUGGACAACCCCGGGAAACUGGGAUUAAUCCGUGAUAGGUCAUCUCAUCUGGAAGGAGAGAUGGCUUAAAGGGAUGCGCGGGCUUCUUCUGCGUAUUUGCUCCAGGAUGGGACUGCGUCCGAUCAGGCUGUUGGCGGGGUAAUGGCCCACCAAGCCAGUAACCGGUACGGGCCUUGAGAGAGGUGGCCCGGAGAUGGACACUGAGAGAAGGGUCCAGGUCCUACGGGGCGCAGCAGGCGCGAAACCUUCGCAAUGCGCGCAAGCGUGACGAGGUUAAUCCGAGUGAUUUCCGCUGAGGAGACCUUUUGUCUGCUGUAAAUAGGCAGGCGAAUAAGGGGAGGGCAAGCCUGGUGUCAGCCGCCGCGGUAAUACCAGCUCCUCGAGUGGUCGGGGCGAUUAUUGGGCCUAAAGCAUCCGUAGCCGGUUCCGUAGGUCCUCUGUUAAAUCC
rnacentral:rRNA from 1 species